rnacentral:rRNA from 1 species
UACGUAGGGGGCAAGCGUUGUCCGGAUUUAUUGGGCGUAAAGAGCGUGUAGGCGGCCAAGUAAGUCUGCUGUGAAAACUCGAGGCUUAACCUCGAGCUGUCGGCGGAAACUAUUUGGCUAGAGUCCGGAAGAGGAGAAUGGAAUUCCCGGUGUAGCGGUGAAAUGCGCAGAUAUCGGGAAGAACACCCGUGGCGAAGGCGGCUCUCUGGGACGGUACUGACGCUGAGACGCGAAAGCGUGGGGAGCGAACAGG